CAUUCUCUCUCACUAUAGUACACUCAAACUCGUACGCACGAACGCGACAUAAAAUGUGAAGUAGUACAUUUUGAAACGUUGAGCCGCUCUUACAUUUUGACGUCAUGUACGGGACAAAUGUACUGCCUCUUGUAAGUCCUACUCAACGCUAGUAUUACUAGAAAAAUUUCA